rnacentral:rRNA from 1 species
AGCAUGGUCUUAGCUUGCUAAGACCGAUGGCGACCGGCGCACGGGUGAGUAACACGUAUCCCACCUGCCGUCUACUCUUGGACAGCCUUCUGAAAGGAAGAUUAAUACAAGAUGGCAUCAUGAGUCCGCAUGUUCACAUGAUUAAAGGUAUUCCGGUAGACGAUGGGGAUGCGUUCCAUUAGAUAGUAGGCGGGGUAACGGCCCACCUAGUCUUCGAUGGAUAGGGGUUCUGAGAGGAAGGUCCCCCACAUUGGAACUGAGACACGGUCCAAACUCCUACGGGAGGCAGCAGUGAGGAAUAUUGGUCAAUGGGCGCAGGCCUGAACCAGCCAAGUAGCGUGAAGGAUGACUGCCCUAUGGGUUGUAAACUUCUUUUAUAAAGGAAUAAAGUCGGGUAUGUAUACCCGUUUGCAUGUACUUUAUGAAUAAGGAUCGGCUAACUCCGUGCCAGCAGCCGCGGUAAUACGGAGGAUCCGAGCGUUAUCCGGAUUUAUUGGGUUUAAAGGGAGCGUAGAUGGAUGUUUAAGUCAGUUGUGAAAGUUUGCGGCUCAACCGUAAAAUUGCAGUUGAUACUGGAUAUCUUGAGUGCAGUUGAGGCAGGCGGAAUUCGUGGUGUAGCGGUGAAAUGCUUAGAUAUCACGAAGAACUCCGAUUG